CUUUUCCCCAUUUUUGUGUUGCAUGACCAAUCAUAUGCUACUGGAACUGCAGUUUCCAGCUCCUCAUGCAUGAAGUCUGAAGAGCAAAGAUGAAGUCACAACAAAGAGGGUUUCAAGUUCUGAGAAUCAUGAAUUUUAAUUAACUGUAAUAAUGAUCAGAGCUGACUGGAGAAACCUAGUGGGCAGAAGGUGUUGACUGGACUAGCUACUGCUGGUGAGAGUACACAAGAACUUCCCAUAGUUCUCGCGUUCAGGUUAAAGCGGGAAAGAAUCAUGUGAUGGGAUUUUAAGGAGAAUGAAAAAAGGAGUUUUGUAAUUCAUAAAAUUGUGCAAACUCAUCAGAAGAGGCUGGUCCAAGAAAAUAGUAUCACCUUGGCUACUUUUGUCCCACAAUCUGGGACUAGCGUUAGAUCAUCAUCAUAAGAUAUUGGACUAACGUUUUUAUUUAUAUUUAGCACCACAAGGGCUCUUAACAAAGCUUGCUAAAUUUGGAAGAUGGAAAAAAUUCUAUUUCUCAGAAAGUAUGACAAACUGAGAAAAAGGAUUGGGGCCAGAAUAACCAAGAUCCCUUGUCCAAAUCAAAUAAUCUCUUAGCAAAGCUAUCCACUUAUACAUGGGCAAAUCUCAGUCCAGCUGUGCACAACUGGAGUCCUGCUUCAGACGUCAAAAUAGCUAUGGGUUCAGCACUAAGUCAGUAUUUUGGACUAUGACAGUAUGGAGACUGACUGACUCCCGUUAGGUUCCCACCCUCCUGUGGACCCACAGAGCUAUUCUAGAGUUGCAUCUGUCCAAGCGUAGCUGUUGAAGUGCGGUUUGGAGAAGAAAAAUACUGUAUCUAAGAGCUCUGCUGUGUGAACUUCAACUACCCCAAAGAAAUCAUCUGCUCUGCCCUAGCACCAUGCUCUAGGAAGUGAAGGAGAGCUUGACACUAGCACUGGAGUAACCCUCAUCACUCCCAAUGCUUUGCAAGCUGCUGUGGUCAUCAAUGUCACUUGUACUGGUUGUGCUGAUAUCAUCCACGUCUCCAUGGGAGAACUCUGUGCUUUCCACAUCCACUUCGAUUUCUUCUGCAAAAGAAGGAAGACCCCCAAGUUAGUAUCAGGGUAGGUUCACUGUUCAAUCAAGACUGGCAAAAGGUCGUGGCCACAUCAUGAGAUUUGCUUGGAAAUGUCUGGUGUUGUAUCAUUGAGGAAAAAGGAAGGCAGAAGGCAGGAAACUGCCUCGUUAUAUUAAUCAAUGUUUUGAAAGAAUUAUUAUUACAGCCCAUUUGGUGCCAGCUGAUUUGGACUCCCAAUUUAACAGAUUUUGGAUUAAACAUUUUAAAUUA